GUCACUAUAGCUCAGUGGUAGAGCACACGAUUGCAAUGGCUACGUAAGCAUCGUGUGGUCCCGUGUUCGAACCACGGUAGGGACU